CCUACGGGUGGCAGCAGUGAGGAAUAUUGGUCAAUGGGCGGAAGCCUGAACCAGCCAAGUCGCGUGAGGGAUUAAGGCCCUGCGGGUCGUAAACCUCUUUUGUCAGGGAACAAAGACUGGGACGCGUCCCCGGAUGAGUGUACCUGAAGAAAAAGCAUCGGCUAACUCCGUGCCAGCAGCCGCGGUAAUACGGAGGAUGCGAGCGUUAUCCGGAUUUAUUGGGUUUAAAGGGAGCGCAGGCGGUCUGUUAAGUCAGCGGUCAAAGCCCGGGGCUCAACCCCGGCCCGCCGUUGAAACUGGCAGUCUCGAGUUGGAGAGAAGUAUGCGGAAUGCGCGGUGUAGCGGUGAAAUGCAUAGAUAUCGCGCAGAACUCCGAUUGCGAAGGCAGCAUGCCGGCUCCACACUGACGCUGAGGCACGAAAGCGUGGGUAUCGAACAGGAUUAGAUACCCCGGUAGUC
rnacentral:rRNA from 1 species